AGGAUGAACGCUAGCGGCAGGCUUAAUACAUGCAAGUCGAGGGGCAGCACGGGUAGCAAUAUCUGGUGGCGACCGGCGCACGGGUGCGUAACACGUAUACAAUCUACCCUUAACAGGGGGAUAGCCCUCCGAAAGGAGGAUUAAUACCCCAUAAUAAAUUGAAUGGCAUCAUUUGAUUUUGAAAGUUCCGACGGUUAAGGAUGAGUAUGCGUCUGAUUAGCUAGUUGGUGAGGUAAAGGCUCACCAAGGCAACGAUCAGUAGGGGAUCUGAGAGGACUACCCCCCACACUGGUACUGAGACACGGACCAGACUCCUACGGGAGGCAGCAGUAAGGAAUAUUGGUCAAUGGUGGCAACUCUGAACCAGCCAUGCCGCGUGCAGGAAGACGGCCCUAUGGGUUGUAAACUGCUUUUGUACGGGAGAAAACCCUUUCACGUGUGAGAGGUUGAUAGUACCGUAAGAAUAAGCAUCGGCUAACUUCGUGCCAGCAGCCGCGGUAAGACGAAGGAUGCAAGCGUUAUCCGGAUUCAUUGGGUUUAAAGGGAGCGUAGGUGGACUUGUAAGUCAGUGGUGAAAUCUCUCAGCUUAACUGAGAAACUGCCAUUGAUACUGCAGGUCUUGAGUACAGAUGAUGUGGGCGGAAUAUGACAUGUAGUGGUGAAAUACUUAGAUAUGUCAUAGAACACCGAUUGCGAAGGCAGCUCACAAAACUGUAACUGACACUGAGGCUCGAAAGUGCGGGGAUC
rnacentral:rRNA from 1 species